rnacentral:lncRNA from 1 species
GACUUUAACAACUGUAUGAAUGACAAUCACAGCAUAUAGAUGAAUAACUAGAACCCCAAUGUCAUCACGUUAUGCAGUAAAUCCACUGAUACUAACACAAAAGAGGUGGUGAAUUACAGCAGAGGCAACAUAUUCUCUCCUUAUUCAUUUUUUACAUCCACAAGUUCUAGCAUUACAUUAGCAAACCAAUAGGAAGAAAAGAGAAACAAAAGAAGUCAUUAUAAACCAGACUACGUAUAACCAAAAUAAAAGCAAGAUCCUCUAUCAAUACAAAAUUCAUUGUGCCACUCAACCAAUCCUAUCUAAUUUUUCUGAAGCAGAUUGCAGUUUCUACAAUUUCAAGUAAAAUUGAAUUCAGAAAAACGAGAUUCAUGUUUCAUGUAGUCAAAUUCUCAAACUAAAAUCGUUUGCUCACCAAUUACUCAAUUGCAAACCCUAAAAUCACUUCAAAUCCAAACCGACCCACAAAUUGAGCACAAAACUUUCUAAUUCAAGCCUUCAAUUCACAAAACAAUGUUUAUAUGAGAUAGAACUUUCUAACAUUUUCAGUCAAAAUAAU